GACGAACUGUCCUAACGUUGUUCGGAAUCACUGGGCUUAAAGGGCGCGUAGGCGGUCCGAUAAGUCGGGGGUGAAAUCCUGCAGCUUAACUGUAGAAGUGCCUUCGAUACUGUCGGUCUUGAGGGAGAUAGGGGUGUGCGGAACUUCCAGUGGAGCGGUGAAAUGCGUUGAUAUUGGAAGGAACGCCGGAGGCGAAAGCGGCGCACUGGAUCUCUUCUGACGCUGAGGCGCGAAAGCUAGGGGAGCAAACGGG
rnacentral:rRNA from 1 species